CGGGGUGUAGCUCAGUUUGGCUAGAGCGCGUGCCUUGGGCGCACGAGGUCGCUGGUUCAAGUCCAGUCACCCCGA
rnacentral:tRNA from 1 species